UGUAUAGCAAUAGCUACUUGCAUCAUUGUACAGAUGAUGCAAGAUCGACUAUGUCGAAUAAAAUUCUAGGUAGAAUUAUGAUAAUGACAUUGUCUGCCUAUGUGUCUUGACCAAAUUACGUGCCAGCAGUCGCGGUAAUACGUAGAAGACUAGUGUUAUUCAUGUUUAAUCGGUUUAAAGGGUACCUAGACGGUAGAUCAAGCUUUUUCAUAUAAAUUAUGAUAAUAAAAGGGACUAAUUUGCUAGAGUUACUUACGAGGGGGUAUUAAAGUACUGCUGGUGUAGAGAUGAAAUUCUGUCAUACCUCUUUUCGAAAGAAAAAUCAUGGCACAGGUAUAGGCGAAGGCAUCCCCUUAUGUGAUAACUGACGUUGAGGGACGAAGGCUUCGUGUAACAAACAGGAUUAGAUACCCUAGUAGUUGGAGCAGAAAAUGAUGAAUGUCAUAGAUUAGAUAUAUAAGUUUAUUCUAUAAAUGAAAGUGUAAGCAUUCCACCUCAUGAGUAAUUUGGCAACAUUGGAAUUGAAAUCAUUAGACCGUUUCUGAAACCAGUAGUGAAGUAUGUUGUUUAAUUUGAUAGUCCGCAAAAAACCUUACCACAAUUUGAAUAUUUAUAUUUUUUUUUAUUGUUUUCUUCUUAAUUUUCUUCUAAUUACAUAUUCAGCAUGUAAAAACAAGAAAGUUAAUAAAAAGACAAUAAUAUAUAUUUACAAGCGUUGCACGGCUGUCUUCAGUUAAUGUCGCGAGACUUUGGUUAGUUCCAUUAAAUUAACGUAAACCCUUACUUUAUUUUUAUAUAGAGUAGUUCCCCGCU
rnacentral:rRNA from 1 species